rnacentral:misc_RNA from 1 species
GAUGAAGAACGCAGCGAAAUGCGAUAAGUAAUGUGAAUUGCAGAAUUCAGUGAAUCAUCGAAUCUUUGAACGCACAUUGCGCCCGCCAGUAUUCUGGCGGGCAUGCCUGUUCGAGCGUCAUUACAACCCUCAGGCCCCCGGGCCUGGCGUUGGGGAUCGGCGGAAGCCCCCUGCGGGCACAACGCCGUCCCCCAAAUACAGUGGCGGUCCCGCCGCAGCUUCCAUUGCGUAGUAGCUAACACCUCGCAACUGGAGAGCGGCGCGGCCACGCCGUAAAACACCCAACUUCUGAAUGUUGACCUCGAAUCAGGUAGGAAUACCCGCUGAACUUAAGCAUACCAAUAAGCGGAGGA